rnacentral:lncRNA from 1 species
AGGUCAAUUCCGUCAAGUUUGACAGCGAGUGACCUGUGUCAUCUUUAGCAAAGGAAGGGUGACUUUGGGAGGCUGGCACUCACCUCCAAUGGACCCAGAAACUCAGUGUUAUUAGGAGAGAGUUGUGGCACGGACAGUUUGAAGCAGGUUCUUUGACACUGCAGUCUAUAGUCCUUCCAUGCUCCUGCUUCUGGACAGAGUGUGAUCUCCAUCAAGGCAGGAAGUGAAUGAGCAGAGAUCCCUGGGCCAAGGGAGUAAAUUAUAAAGCCGUAAGAUUUGACCAUUGGCAGAGCUCAGCCAGAGUGAGGGAAGGGAGAAGAGCACCCUGGCUAACCUGGUGAGAACAGACACGGAGCCUCCCUGGUUUGGUUUCCAUGGUCACCUGGUAACCUGCUAAAAGUGGGUGCCUGUGGCA